CCUACGGGAGGCAGCAGUGAGGAAUAUUGGUCAAUGGGCGGAAGCCUGAACCAGCCAAGUAGCGUGCGGGAUGAAGGCCCUACGGGUCGUAAACCGCUUUUGCACGGGGAUAACACCCUCCACUUGUGGCGGUCUGCAGGUACCGUGCGAAUAAGGGCCGGCUAAUUCCGUGCCCGCAGCCGCGGUAAUACGGAAGGCCCGGGCGUUAUCCGGAUUCAUUGGGCUUAACGGGAGCGUAGGCGGGCGUGUAAGUCAGCUGUAAAAUCGCGGGGCUCAACCUGGCCGCGCAGUGGAAACUGGAAGCCUUGAGUUGACAACAGGCAGGCGGAAUUCGUGGUGUAGCGGUGAAAUGCAUAGAUAUCACGAGGAACCCCGAUUGCGAAGGCAGCCUGCCGGGGUGCGACUGACGCUGAGGCUCGAAGGUGCGGGUAUCAAACAGGAUUAGAUACCCGUGUAGUC
rnacentral:rRNA from 1 species